GACGAACCGAGCGAACGUUGUUCGGAAUCACUGGGCAUAAAGGGUGCGUAGGCGGGCCACCAAGUCUGCGGUGAAAUCUUUCAGCUUAACUGGAAACAGCCCCUGAUACUGCGAGUCUCGAGGGAGGUAGGGCAUGUGGAACUUCCGGUGGAGCGGUGAAAUGCGUAGAUAUCGGAAGGAACGCCGGUGGCGAAAGCGACGUGCUGGACCUCUUCUGACGCUGAGGCGCGAAAGCGUGGGAGCAAACAGG
rnacentral:rRNA from 1 species